rnacentral:rRNA from 1 species
GACGUAGGGCGCGAGCGUUGUCCGGAUUUAUUGGGCGUAAAGGGCUCGUAGGCGGUCUGUCGCGUCGGGAGUGAAAACUCAGGGCUUAACCCUGAGCCUGCUUCCGAUACGGGCAGACUAGAGGUAUGCAGGGGAGAACGGAAUUCCUGGUGUAGCGGUGAAAUGCGCAGAUAUCAGGAAGAACACCUAUGGCGAAGGCAGCACUCUGGGACGGUACUGACGCUGAGGCGCGAAAGCGUGGGGAGCGAACAGG